AAAGGAUCGUCGACUAAGUUCACCACUUCCUGUGGCAACGUCGACACCAACAUUCUGU
rnacentral:sRNA from 1 species